rnacentral:rRNA from 1 species
GAGUUUGAUCCUGGCUCAGGAUGAACGCUAGCUGGAGGCUUAAUACAUGCAAGUCGAGCGGGAUUGGGUAGCAAUACCCAUGAGAGCGGCGCACGGGUGAGUAACGCGUACACGACCUACCUCUAACAGGGGGAUAGCCCUGGGAAACUGGGAUUAAUACCGCAUAUAAUUCUGAUUAUAAAAGAUUGGAAUGAAAGUUCAGGCGGUUAGAGAUGGGUGUGCGUCUGAUUAGCUAGUUGGUAGGGUAACGGCCUACCAAGGCGAUGAUCAGUAGGGGGCGUGAGAGCGUGGACCCCCACACGGGUACUGAGACACGGACCCGACUCCUACGGGAGGCAGCAGUAAGGAUAUUGAUCAAUGGGCGCAAGCCUGAACCAGCCAUCCAGC